GGCUAGUAUGGUAUAGUGGUUAGCAUGUGUGGCUUGUCCUUGUCAGGUGACAUUAUUGGAAGUCUUUUUAAGGUCCUGGGUUCAAUUCCCGGACCCGCCG